GGAGCUCCUCAGGCUCACAGAAAAUUCACAGCAAAACUAAAGUGAACCCCAUAAAGCUUGUUCUGGGUUUUCUUCUGCAGAAAAGAUUAAAGGAAAAUUGUUUUAGCAGAAAGAAAGCUCCAUCCUCAGGAAAGGCAAGCAAGGGAGCUGCAGCUAAGGGAAGGGCAAUGAAGAAGGUGGCAGCCAGACUGAAGGGAAGAGGGGCUGCAAGACUUGGAGUUGGUGAUGGCAACCCUGGAGAGGAAAGGAACAUGGCCAAGAGGUUGGGAUUCAUGCUAGAUCAAGAAGGAAGAACCCAGAAGCAGCCCAGAGGCUUCACAGCUACAUAAGAAAAAAAAGGGGGCCAGGCACGAUGCCUCAUGCCUGUAAUCCAGCACUUUGGGAGCCUGAGGCGGGUGGAUCACGAGGUCAGGAGUUCGAGAGCAGCCUGACCAACACAGUGAAACCCUGUCUCCACUGAGAAUACAAAAAUUAGCCAGGCAUGGUGGCACACGCCUGUAAUCCCAGCUACUCAGGAGGCUGAGGCAGGAGAAUCCAGGAGGCGGAACUGCGGUGGGCAGAGAUCACGCCACUGUACUCUAUUCUGGGUGACAGAGUAAGACUCCAUCUCAAAAAAAAAAAAAGGAUGUGACUAUUGCCAAAACCAACUUGUAAAACAUCACCAUGAUAUGUCACCAAGCUACCUACGAGAUGCUGGGCAUACCUUCGGUGGAAGAAAGAAACAGCUAUACAACUUUGGGUUGCUUCAUUUUUCUCUUGCAUUUCUAGUUCAGGUUGGUUUUGGUGUUCUGUUGUUGUUGUUGUUUUGCAUUCCAAAAAAAAUAAAAAAUAAAAAGAA